rnacentral:rRNA from 1 species
AUUGAACGCUGGCGGCAUGCUUUACACAUGCAAGUCGAACGGUAACAGCACUUCGGUGGCUGACGAGUGGCGAACGGGUGAGUAAUGCAUCGGAACGUGCCUAGUAGUGGGGGAUAACUACUCGAAAGAGUAGCUAAUACCGCAUGAGAUCUAAGGAUGAAAGCAGGGGACCUUCGGGCCUUGCGCUACUAGAGCGGCUGAUGGCAGAUUAGGUAGUUGGUGGGAUAAAAGCUUACCAAGCCGACGAUCUGUAGCUGGUCUGAGAGGACGACCAGCCACACUGGGACUGAGACACGGCCCAGACUCCUACGGGAGGCAGCAGUGGGGAAUUUUGGACAAUGGGCGCAAGCCUGAUCCAGCAAUGCCGCGUGCAGGAUGAAGGCCUUCGGGUUGUAAACUGCUUUUGUACGGAACGAAAAGCCCUCUUCUAAUACAGGAGGGUCAUGACGGUACCGUAAGAAUAAGCACCGGCUAACUACGUG